AGAAUCAACGCUGGCGGCGUGCCUAACACAUGCAAGUCGCACGAGAAAGGGGAGCAAUCCCUGAGUACAGUGGCGCACGGGUGAGUAACACGUGAAUCAUCUACCUCCGAGUGGGGAAUAACUGAGAGAAAUCUUAGCUAAUACCGCAUAACACUUACGAGUCAAAGCAGCAAUGCGCUUGGAGAGGAGUUCGCGGCAGAUUAGUUAGUUGGCGGGGUAAUGGCCCACCAAGACGAUGAUCUGUAUCCGGCCUGAGAGGGCGCACGGACACACUGGAACUGAAACACGGUCCAGACUCCUACGGGAGGCAGCAGUGGGGAAUUUUGCGCAAUGGGGGAAACCCUGACGCAGCAACGCCGCGUGGAGGAUGAAGCCCUUGGGUGUAAACUCCUUCGAUCGGGAAGAUAAUGACGGUACCGAUAUAAGAAGCCCGGCUAACUUCGUGCCAGCGGCCGC
rnacentral:rRNA from 1 species